rnacentral:rRNA from 1 species
CCUACGGGGGGCAGCAGUGAGGAAUAUUGGUCAAUGGGCGCGAGCCUGAACCAGCGAAGUAGCGUGAAGGAUGACUGCCCUACGGGUUGUAAACUUCUUUUAUAAAGGAAUAAAGUGAGGCACGUGUGCCUUUUUGUAUGUACUUUAUGAAUAAGGAUCGGCUAACUCCGUGCCAGCAGACGCGGUAAGACGGAGGAUCCGAGCGUUAUCCGGAUUUGUUGGGGUUAAAGGGAGCGUAGAUGGGUUGUUAAGUCAGUUGUGAAAGUCUGCGGCUCAACCGUAAAAUUGCAAUUGAUACUGGCAGCCUUGAGUACAGUUGAGGUAGGCGGAAUUCGAGGUGUAGCGGUGAAAUGCGUAGAUAUCACGAAGAACACCGAUGGCGAAGGCAGCCUACUAAACUGCCACUGACAUUGAUGCUCGAAAGUGUGGGUAUCAAACAGGAUUAGAUACCCGUGUAGUC